AACUAGUCGGGAGCUAUUGACGUUCCCCUGAUGAGCCCAUGACGGGACAAAACCAGUU
rnacentral:hammerhead_ribozyme from 17 species